rnacentral:tRNA from 1 species
GACAAUGUGGCCGAGUGGUUAAGGCGACGCACUCGAAUGAUGCGUUGGGAUUUCCCGCGCAGGUUCGAAUCCUGCUGUUGUCG